CCUUCCGCCGCCCGGGGCUGCCGUGCCGCGGCUGAGGGCUGUCGGGCCGCGGGCUCAGGCUCAAGUCCAGGCCGGGCUCGGGCACUGGGGCUCGGAGUUGCGGGACUUGGGGCUCCGGGGGUGGCCCCGGGACCGCCGCGGCUUCUUCCCCGUCCGCCGACUUCAGCUCUGACUCCCCACAACCCAUCAUCAUCUUUGGAGGAAGUGCUGUGGAACAUCAGAUAGAAUGGAUAGCACAGCCCAAAUUUUACAAAAAGGAUUUUAAAGGAAGAUCUCAAUGGUGGAACACUAGAGGCUUUCCUGCUAAAGUUAAGAACAAGCAAGUAUGUCUAUUAUCUCAUUGUUCAAUUGUGAAAAGAAAUAGCGAGGUACAAAUAUAAAUUUUUAAACUGGGAGUAUAAAUUAAAAAUUUUUAAUAGCGACAUAGGAGGGAGAGAAUAGAAUGAAAGACAAACAGUCUUAUUCCUCCAAAUAUACUUUGUUUUGUAUAUUUGACUUUGGAAAUGUAUGCAUUUUAUAUGAUUAUAUUAAAAGGUUUUAAAAAAUCAGGCCAGGCACAGUGGCUUACACCUGUAAUCCCAGCACUUUGGGAAGCCCGGGUGGGUGGAUCACUUGAGGUCAGGAGUUCGAGACCAGCCUGGCCAGCAUGGUGAAACCCCGUUUCUACUAAAAAUAUAAAAAUUAGCCAGGCGUGGUGGUGCACACCUGUAAUCCCAGCUACUUGGGAAGCUGAGGCACAAGAAUCGCUUGAACCCAGGAGGCGUAUGUUGCAGUGAGCUGAGAUCGUGCAACUGGACUCCAGCCUGUGUAACAGAGCAAGACUCUGCCUCAAAAAGUAAUAGUAAAAUAAAAUACAAAUACAAAAAAAUUAGCCGGGUGUGGUGACAGGUGCCUGUAGUCCCAACUACUUGGGAGACUGAGUAGGCCAGUCACUGGAACUCAGGAGGUGGAGGUUGCAGUGAGCCAAGAUUGUGCCACUGCACUCCAGCCUGGGUGACAGAGCUAGACUCUCUGUCUCAAAAAACAAAAAACAAACAAACAAAAAAAACUAAUAAAUCAUGCUGUAUUUUACCUUAAAUUGAAAAGUAUCAAGACUGAGCACAGUGGCUCAAGCCUGUAAUCCCAGCACUUUAGGAAGCCGAGGCAGGCAAGUUGCCUGAGCUCAGGAGUUCAAGACCAGCCUGGGCAACAUGGCAAAACCUCGUCUCUACUAAAAAGUACAAAAAAUUAGCCAGGCAUGGUAGCACGUGCCUGUAGUCCCAUAGUCCCAGCUACUCAGGAGGCUGAGGCAUGAGAAUCACUUGAACCCAGGAGGCGGCGGUUGCAGUGAGCCAGGAUCUCGCCACUGCACUCCAGCCUGGAUGACAGAGUGAGACCCUGUCACAAGAAAAAAAAAAGUUGGGGUUCGGAACAGUAUUUGAGGGUACAUGGAUAAAACAAGAUUAGCCAAAUGUUGAUGACUGCUGAAGCAGGAUUUUAUUACUAUAUUUUCUCUACUUUUGCAUAUUCUUGAACAUUUCUGUGACUAAACGUUUUUUGUUUAUUUAAAAAAAGAGGCUGACGCAGUUUUGGCAUGCAGGAAGUGUUGGAGCUGAGACUCGAAACUGUCCCCCAGGCCUUGGCCAUGCUGAUAAAUAUCUAGGCCCUACAGGAGUUCGUGUCCAUGAACCCAGUAAACGCAAUUCCUCAGCCU
rnacentral:lncRNA from 1 species